rnacentral:misc_RNA from 1 species
GACUCUCAAGUUCUGUUGUUGUCGCGCGCCGCGCCGCUCGCGCUGAUAACGCGAUGCCACGCCGACCUGCGCACGCGCACACUAACGCUCCGCAGCUUUAAGCUCGCGCGGACUAUUAAAAAAAAAUAUUUUAACCCCCCAGUGAUGGAAUGGAUAUUUUUUAUGGACAAGUGCAAAGUUGAUCGCGAAUAAGCUUUUUUUUGUAUUUCAUUCUGUGUGUUUUUUUACUGUUUGAACCAAUAAGUGUUAAUGAGAAAGUGAAACCGAUACUCUGUGUAAUUAUAAUAUUCUGAACGGAAGGAUAUUUUUAAUUGAACUCUUUAAGUAAUUAUUUUUGGUGAUAUUGUAAGAGAGAAACUGAAACAAUAUUAAAAGGAUCAUCUGAAGUUUUUGACUUUUCUGCUGUAACAGUGUACCAUUACCGCCGCCAAGCUGACUACCGCAAAUGAGAUUAUACCCAGUUACCACGUCGAAGCGCUAAUAGUGUGGAGAAAGAAGCACCGCCCAGCAAAGAUGUGGAGAUGGAGCAGCAUGAUGAGGAGCAGCAUGCGGAGCAGACUGUGGAACUGCUGGCGAUUGGAUCGGAAGUAGAAUAUAAGUCUGGUGAGACCGGUCCAAAUAUUAAUGUGUUGAUUGCUCAACAGGAGUUCAGGGCGUUAGUCGACACAGGAGCGUCGAUUUCCUGUUUAUCUGAGGCGUUCAUUUCAGAACUCAACAUUAAAUACACCAAGAACAGUUCUUAUGAAGCUUCUUCAGUCUCUGGUGCGCAGUUGCAUGUACUGGGCGAAACAUACAUAAAUUUUUUGAUAAAUUCGUGUUUUUUCAGCCACAAAUUUUUAAUUAUCAAAAACAUUAAUCAAAAUUUAAUUCUUGGUAGAGAUUUUCUUUGUAAAAAUAAUUGUUUGAUAGAUUUUUCCAAAAAUCAUUUAAUUUUGAAAACGAGGUUUAUUGUCAAGUUUAUUAAUACUGGCACUUUAGAAAAUGAUAGGUCAGAGUCAAAUAUAAUGAC